UACAGAGGUCCCAAGCGUUGUUCGGAUUCACUGGGCGUAAAGGGUGCGUAGGUGGCGAGGUAAGUCGGAUGUGAAAGCUCGGAGCUCAACUCCGAAAUGGCAUUGGAAACUACCUUGCUCGAGGGUCGGAGGGGGGACUGGAAUACUUGGUGUAGCAGUGAAAUGCGUAGAUAUCAAGUGGAACACCAGUGGCGAAGGCGAGUCUCUGGACGACUCCUGACACUGAGGCACGAAAGCUAGGGGAGCAAACAGG
rnacentral:rRNA from 1 species